ACACACAGAGAGAGAGAGAGAGAAGCAUGGAGAAGGGCAGUUUCUGCAGUAGGGCGCCCCCUUCUGUGUGCAGAAGGGUUGGUUCCUCAUCCUCUUCCUUCUUCAAGAUCAUGGUAGGAGACUUCUCAUCCUGUCUGUUCAUACCCACGAGGUUUUGUCGUCAAAUCGGGAACGUACUCGGUCAAGACGCCCAUCUGGAGGACGCCGGCCAUCGGCUUUGGAAGGUAAAACUAUCAAGAACCAGCGCUGGUUUGGCCUUCCAACAAGGAUGGAGGGAGUUCGUUAACGAUCAUUCGAUAUCAUUUGGAGAUUUAUUGUUGUUCGAGUACGUCAACAUUUCCCAUUUCGAGGUUCAAAUCUUUGGGAGGAACUGCUGCGAGAAGGAGAGAUCUCCCUUAAGCGGCAGAGAUGGCGAAGCUGUUGGAAGAAGGAGAAAUCAGAGUGCUGCCGGAGCGUCGAAGGCAGCUGCUGCGACGGACGAGGCAGUGGAUUCUGCUGCUGCUGCUGGUGGCAGCAAAAGGGGUCUCUCUUCUUUGGGUUUUGAGUGUAGGAAGGCGGUUGAUGUUGAAGACAAGGUCGAAGGAGUCGAAGAAAUGCCAAAGAAGCUCCGCCAUUCUGAGGAAGGAUCAAGAGGAAAAAAAGUGGAGAUAUUAUUAGGAGAAGUAAACAAUGCGGCAGGUCGUGCGAUGCGUUUUGAUGAAGAUCCCAGGUACAAAAAAGCUUAUAGUGAAGAUCCCAACCAAAGUGAAGACUUGAACAUCCCCAAGUUUCUUGGAUCAGCACAAUUUUCGUCUUGAAGCUGGAACUGCCCAAAAAAAUUUCCUUUCAUGGUACUUGUUAUCACACUCUGCUUCUAUGUGAUACACGGACAGACUAUGGCACGUUUUUGCAUCGGUCGAUGUUGUUGCCAUUUAUUAACUCUUGAAGAGCAAGAUUUUGCCAUUGAAAAUAGUGUUAAGUGCGGAGAUAUCUGUAAGAGAUUAAAGUCAAGUUCCAUACAUGAAAAUGGAAGGAUGAAGGAUCAGCUGAGGGGUAGCUUAAAGAAUUUCACAGUUGACCCAGACAUCCUUUUUUUGGGGUUGGUUAUGUCACGGUUACAUGAUUGGGUAUUAGAAAACAGUAGGAACCGAUUUGACUUUUGAAAAGUUCAUUUUGUUGAGACCAAUGAAAUUGCUUCUCUUCUACUGCAUCUUAAUAAGUGGACACCACCUGACAAUCAUAAGUCGUCCUGUCAUCAGCAGUGAUUUUUUUUUUUGUUUUGUUUUGUGCAAUUACGAGAAACAAAUAUAUCUCUACAUUUAUUUUAUGUUUACUUCGUUUAUUUGAAGUGGGGCAAGCCUCCGUAUGAUUAUUUCAACCUGUCACUCUCCGUGACAAGGCAUACCAUAACAGUUUUACCAAUGAAUACUCAAAUGAUAUGAAACGUAUCCCGCCAGACUUAUUGAUUUCAUUCUACAACUCUUUGAGCAUAGCUUUCUG